rnacentral:rRNA from 1 species
AGAGUUUGAUCAUGGCUCAGGAUGAACGCUAGCUACAGGCUUAACACAUGCAAGUCGAGGGGAAACGACAUCGAAAGCUUGCUUUUGAUGGGCGUCGACCGGCGCACGGGUGAGUAACGCGUAUGCAACUUGCCUAUCAGAGGGGGAUAACCCGGCGAAAGUCGGACUAAUACCGCAUGAAGCAGGGAUCCCGCAUGGGAAUAUUUGCUAAAGAUUCAUCGCUGAUAGAUAGGCAUGCGUUCCAUUAGGCAGUUGGCGGGGUAACGGCCCACCAAACCGACGAUGGAUAGGGGUUCUGAGAGGAAGGUCCCCCACAUUGGUACUGAGACACGGACCAAACUCCUACGGGAGGCAGCA